rnacentral:misc_RNA from 1 species
GAAAAUGGUGAUACGUUUUCAUAAAGCCAGCAAUCUGAUUGCGGAACCAUCUGCUUCCAGCAGGUGACUCAUAUGGGAAAACAGAGUUCUCCUUGAGCAUGCUAGCAAGAUAAGCUAGGAAAGGAAUCUUCUCAUCUGCUACAGCAUCAUCUUCAAAUGAUAAAUCCAGAGAAGUACUGAUAUCGUGGAAUCCGUUUUUUACGAACUCAAAUAUCUUUUUAACCUGACUUGGCUGACGAAGUUG